GAUGAACGCUGGCGGCGUGCCUAAUACAUGCAAGUCGAGCGAACGGACGAGAAGCUUGCUUCUCUGAUGUUAGCGGCGGACGGGUGAGUAACACGUGGAUAACCUACCUAUAAGACUGGGAUAACUUCGGGAAACCGGAGCUAAUACCGGAUAAUAUUUUGAACCGCAUGGUUCAAAAGUGAAAGACGGUCUUGCUGUCACUUAUAGAUGGAUCCGCGCUGCAUUAGCUAGUUGGUAAGGUAACGGCUUACCAAGGCAACGAUGCGUAGCCGACCUGAGAGGGUGAUCGGCCACACUGGAACUGAGACACGGUCCAGACUCCUACGGGAGGCAGCAGUAGGGAAUCUUCCGCAAUGGGCGAAAGCCUGACGGAGCAACGCCGCGUGAGUGAUGAAGGUCUUCGGAUCGUAAAACUCUGUUAUUAGGGAAGAACAUAUGUGUAAGUAACUAUGCACAUCUUGACGGUACCUAAUCAGAAAGCCACGGCUAACUACGUG
rnacentral:rRNA from 1 species